UGGUAUUGUGGGACUUACUGAUGUUAUAGUUGUGUAAUGGAAUGUAUUGUGUGACUUGGUAUUGUGGGACUGUUGAUGUUUAAGUUGUAUAAUGGAAUGUAUUGUGUGACUUGGUAUUGUGGGACUUACUGAUGUUAUAGUUGUGUAAUGGAAUGUAUUGUGUGACUUGGUAUUGUGGGACUUAAUGAUGUAUUGUGGGACUUCUGAUGUUUUAGUUGUAUAAUGGAAUGUAUUGUGUGACUUGGUAUUGUGGGACUGCUGAUGAUAUGGUUGUGUAAUGGAAUGUAUUGUGUGACUUGGUAUUGUGGUACUGUUGAUGUUUAAGUUGUAUAAUGAAAUGUAUUGUGUGACUUGGUAUUGUGGGACUCAAAUAUAAAUUCGAAUAUUAGUCUUCAUUAUAUAAACAUUCAGGCCAGUAUUUCAUAUUACCCAGUAUUGCCCAGUGAAACCCAGA
rnacentral:lncRNA from 1 species